rnacentral:rRNA from 1 species
UAAGGAAUAUUGGACAAUGGACGGAAGUCUGAUCCAGCCAUGCCGCGUGAAGGAUGAAUGCGCUAAGCGUUGUAAACUUCUUUUGCCUGGGGACAAAGAAACUGACUUGUCAGUAGAUGAGGGUACCAGGAGAAUAAGCACCGGCUAACUCCGUGCCAGCAGCCGCGGUAAUACGGAGGGUGCAAGCGUUAUCCGGAAUCACUGGGUUUAAAGGGUGCGUAGGCGGUCUGAUAAGUCUGUCGUGAAAAGCUUCGGCUUAACCGGUAGUCGUGCGAUGGAUACUGUCAGACUUGAAUGGAGAUGAGGCAGGCGGAAUGUGGCAUGUAGCGGUGAAAUGCAUAGAUAUGCCAUAGAACACCGAUUGCGAAGGCAGCUUGCCAAUCUUUGAUUGACGCUGAGG